rnacentral:rRNA from 1 species
UACGUAGGUGGCGAGUGUUGUCCGGAUUUAUUGGGCGUAAAGCGCGCGCAGGCGGUUGUCUAAGUCUGCUGUGAAAUCUCCCGGCUCAACUGGGAGGGGGCGGCGGAGACUGGGCGACUGGAGGGACCUAGAGGCCGGUGGAAUUCCCGGUGUAGUGGUGAAAUGCGUAGAGAUCGGGAGGAACACCUGUGGCGAAGGCGGCCGGCUGGGGGUACCCUGACGCUGAGGCGCGACAGCGUGGGGAGCGAACCGG